UACCAGCACCCCGAGUGGUCGGGACGAUUAUUGGGCCUAAAGCAUCCGUAGCCGGUUCUACAAGUCUUCCGUUAAAUCCACCUGCUUAACAGAUGGGCUGCGGAAGAUACUAUGGAGCUAGGAGGCGGGAGAGGCAAGCGGUACUCGAUGGGUAGGGGUAAAAUCCGUUGAUCCAUUGAAGACCACCAGUGGCGAAGGCGGCUCACUGGCCCAUUACUGACGCUGAGGCACGAAAGCGUGGGGAGCAAACAGG
rnacentral:rRNA from 1 species